GCACAGGGGACCAGCAAGGAGCCUUGGAGCUAUGGGGCAGUUUCCAUAUGAGGAGAGAAUAUGCAGUGGGACUCCUGGCAGGCCAUGAGAUGGCAAAGCAGGAGAGCCACGUCUGCGGGUUUGCCGGGAGCCAACCACCACAACCAGCUGCACAGCUGAGCCCAGGAGCACCAGGCUGAGUGCACACAACCCAGCAAUGAGCUCUCCCGUGCCAGCUCGGUGCCCGGUGCCUGCUCUCCCACAGCCCUGAUGCAUUCUGCAAGCCAUCCGUGGUGCGUCAUUUGGGCCCAAACAAUUCAUCUCUGAGCUGUGGGCCUCAUUAAAACAUCCUCUUGGGAGAAGCCAGGCAAAGAGUCAGGUGUCAGCCGUGCUCUGCGUGGAAAAGCCCGCCUGCUAUUCGGGAGCGUUGUUUGUUCAAACACAGGACAGGAGGGCCCCGGGUCACCUUCCUGCAGCACCGCCAUGAACAAAGCCAAUUGUCCCACCCUGCCUCCAUUCUCUAUGCAAGGAGUGGGUGAGGUGAGCACAUGGCAGCCGUUACUACUCCGGGCAGUGCCCCCACGAGGGGCCUGGAGGAGUCUGCAUAACUCAGGCAGUGAGAGCUUCAAGGAUGGGCUCUGCAUUCGCUCUUUUUGUGACCUUUCUGAGUCCUUUUCCCCAGGCCGGCAGCAGCUGGUCGGGCAAUUAUUUAUGAAUGAGAGCGGAGCUUUUCCAGCUGAAGGUGGUUGCUGUGGGCAGAUGCCAGAGCAACACAUGGGCACAUCCCAGCUGUUUGCAGGCUCCGAGCUCUGUCAGAGAUGUAUGUUAACAGAUACAGACACACGUGUGAUUGUCAUCUUGCCAUCCUCUGAAACCAAUGGCUUCAGCUUUUGGCCCAGCUUCCUAAGGGAAGAAGAGCAAGUGCAGCCAUGAAAUCAUCUGCUUCCUACUAAUGUUUUCUAAACUCCUUGGUCCUUUUGGCCAAGUACAGUGAAACCAUACGGUUGUUAAAUUCUUAUAAUUUUUAUGAAAACACAUGACGAGCAGAGCGGGGAGAUAGAAUAAGAAAUGUCUCAUUAGUCCCUUCUGAAUGAAAGGACACAGCAUGACAUUACACCAUACUAAGCACUAGGGAAUGAGAAAGAUUACGAUUCCCCCAUCUCAAUGGAAAUUUGCAAUCAGAGCCUGCGACUUAAAGGUACUGGAGAAUCCCAGUAAGCAAUAGAAAGCCACAGAAAAAAAUGCUCCAUUUCAUCUGCUGUUCGUGGCACAUCAUCUCUCAUGCUAUGGUUGAAGGAUAAAAAUGUCUUCUGGAAAUUUCACGGAGGACAGCAUGAGGCCAAGAGCACAGGAGGGUAAGUGUAAUUACCUUGGUCAGCUCCUCUGGUAAGCGCUCAGCUGAUUCAGAUUGGAGUACCUCCAUUAAAUCUGCAGUUUUACACCUGCCAAGAAUCUGAGCCAUCAAAUUUGUGCUCAGAAAAAUGUUUAUCUCUUCUUUCACUUUUUUUUUUCUUCUUCAGUCCCCAGAGAGGGCAGGAAGCUGACCGGAGAAUUAUUUUCCUACUGAAGUGCUGCUAAUAAAAGUGUAAGGCAUUGGUAGCAUUACCUGUAGCACCAGGCCAUCCCUUGUGCUUUUUGGAACUUUUUACUGCAGCUAAAACCAAGGAUCAUUUCUGUCAUCCUGGACUUUCUCAGAGAUGGGAGGAGUCUGGGCCAGAGGGUGCUCGGGUGGGUCCAGUUUUCUCUUGGUCCUCUCCAAAUAUCCACAGCUUGUCCAUUCCAGAGGUGGUCUGUGCCAUGCCAGGACCUCUGUAUAUGUGCAGCAGAAACCAAGGACAGAAGUAAGAGUGGGAAUCACGUAAGGAAAACAAUUUUGUUUCAGGAGAAAUCAGAGUAGGGUUCUAUAUGAUGAUAGAGGCUAGAACAGUGCAAUAUUAACAACAUCUUCACUAAUAACACUAACUUUGGAGAAUUGCUGGGCACAGGGCUUUUAUCCAAUGUAACUAGCUCUCCUGUGUUUCCUUUGCUGUGAACUUAUGCAGAAGAGUAGCAGAAUAAUAACUCUCCAGCAGAUGUGCAUUUCCACGUACAGGAGAUCAGUGGUGGCACCAGCGAGGCGCGCAGAUUCUGCCGGGUGCCUCCUGCAAUGCUGAGCAGAGCCCACAUCCAAAUGAUCCUGAAGGGAAGCGACCCUUCUGCAGGGGCAGCGCAGUGACCUGAUCAAGGGAGGCUUUGUAGCUCACUGCUUGCUGGUUGUGCCCCCGUCCUCCAGUUACCUGCCCAACGGACUUGUGUGCUCAUCCCUAUCCCGAUGCUGCAGUGCACGUGAAUUCAGCCACAUUAUUUCUGAAUCGGAGUCCCCAGGCACCUUGUUUAAUUUAUGCUGCAACUUUCUUAUCGUCCCUGGAAAUGCAAUCGGAAAGGAAAAAUCCAUGCAGCAGAUCUUUCGGCGAGGGAAGCUGCCGAUGGUGGUUACACAGCGAGCCAAUCGGAGUGAGCAGCAGUGUGUGUCCCUGAACAAACAAGUUAUCAGUAAAAAACGGCAGCUUUGAUCAAUUGGUGUUUUCAAUUGUCUCCUUGUGAAGCUGUAGCCCAAUACUUCAGGUUGGGCCUUUCAAAUCUGUCUGGUGAUUCUCGAAAAAGGGCUGCACAGAGCAACGUCUCCUCCCCUCCACCUCCUGGUUUCAGGCAUUUCAGAUUAGCCCAGCAUCCCUGAGCUUAUGCCUGGUGAUCUGAUUGUUUGUUCACCUCCUUCUGAGCCCAGGCGUUUGCCUUUGGCCUCUGUUGCUUUCCUGUGCUUUGUCCCAUUUUCACUCAUACGCAGAGCAUGAGGAAUCUGCAUGUCCUCAGCAUCUCAGAGGGGCUGGUGAGAGUGCAACUGGGGAAUACACCCUGGGGAAAGCAGCUGGAGCAGGAGCUGAGCCCUUCGAGGCAGUGCUGUUUGCCAGGCUCUUUGCCUGGCUCUUUGCAGAGCUGCCAUCCCCACUGACAGCUUCUGGAGCCUCUCAGGGAAUGUCCCCCAGGGUCUGCCUUUGGGCCUCUGGCUCUGCAGCCCCAGUAGGAGGUGGAUGGCAUUAGCACAGCACCACUUUUAUGGCCCAGCAGCAUUCGGUGG
ensembl:lncRNA